rnacentral:rRNA from 1 species
UACGUAGGGGGCUAGCGUUGUCCGGAAUCAUUGGGCGUAAAGCGCGCGUAGGCGGCCCGGUAAGUCCGCUGUGAAAGUCCAGGGCUCAACCCUGGAAAGCCGGUGGAUACUGCCGGGCUAGAGUCCGGAAGAGGCGAGUGGAAUUCCUGGUGUAGCGGUGGAAUGCGCAGAUAUCAGGAGGAACGCCAAUGGUGAAGACAGCUCGCUGGGGGUGUCCUGACGCUGAGGCGCGAAAGCCAGGGGAGCGAACGGG